rnacentral:tRNA from 1 species
AUCGGGUGCUAAAAGGAGAUAGAAGAAGCAUGGAGGUUCAAAUCCUCUUCGAGGCA